AUCAAUGGCAACACAGGUGAAGGGGAGGCCACCUUACACCAUCCACAUAGAAUUAAGGUUCCAGCAGUCAUAGUUAUAUGAGUGAUUCCUGAGUGAGACCAGCAGAAAAACCAGCUCAGACUGAUGACCCCCAAUUCAUGAGUGAAUAAAAUGGCAGUUACUUUGAGCCACUAAGCUCUGGGGUAGGAAUACACAACAGAUACAUUAACCACCCCCACCCCCACCCCCGCGCCCUUGGGCAGUGGGGCAUAGCCAGCUGCCAUGCCUAUGUUGGAAAACAACAUUGUCUCCCUUUUUAUUUUAUACUUUCAAAACAUAUUUGUUAAAUAUCUACAUACUCAGGCAUGCUAUCCCUCCCUCCCUGGAUUCAUGGAUUUUUGAAGAAGAAUGUAUAUUUUUCUUAAGCCUUUGCAACUAUUUGCGGCUUCUUCAAAUGCCUCACAUUUCCUCAGAUUGCUUUUUCCUUAGUUCCUAACAUGGCUGAAUGUACAUGAAAAUUAAUUUUAAUUUGCCUGUUUUCUACUCCAGCCUCUUAUCGCUGCCUCAGAGAAGCUUUCCUGAAAUGGUGGUCCUCUUAUGCCAGGGAUCACCAUUCACCUAAAGCCCAAGGGAGAAUUUGUCUUUCUUUCUUCAAGUUACUUUUGGGCUUGGUUUGCUGCAGAGUGACAUUUUGUCAUUUUUCAAAGAUUUCAUUUUACCUUCUAAAUAUGUUUUAGCGAUUCAUAUUUACUAUUCAUUUCUUCCGUAAAUUAAAUCUAGAUUGCACAAUUUAUUCUGGAACUUUAUACACAUCUCAUUUUAUUUAAUAAUGUUUUCAACUAUGUAUCAAGUUAUUGUACAGGAAUUUAACAUACUGUUACAGAUAAAAUAAGAUGCAGAGUGUAGGCCAUAGGGCAGUACCAGUAUAAUGGUUUUAUAGCUUUCUUAUUACUAUUUGUAAAAAUGUUAUUACAAAAUGAAUAAAGUCAAAUUCAGCAGUUUUACUUUUAGCAAAAGAGAUACAUUUGUGAUGGGGGUGUAUGGGAAUGCAUGUCACAGCAACUCAAUAUUUUCUGCAUGGGUGUUUUGUUACUGAUUUGAAAGUUUCCCUGGAAUAUAUAGAAUAUAAAAUACUUGAUAUUUUCUUUCUGAUAUUUCUUACUGUGAUUCUAGUAUUUAAUAUAAUGUAUAUUGUGCUAAUCAUUUGAAAUUACCACAUGUGAAUUCUAAAAUAACCAAGUACCUAUUCUCUUGCUACAUGUUGCAAUAUACAUUAAAGUUGGUUGUCUUAGCAUGGUUAUCAAUUUCCUUAACUGUAAAAUGGGCUAAUAUUGACAUUCCAAAGCCCAUUGUGAGGAGCAAGUGAAACAAUGCAUUUCCAGCACUUUACACAUUGAUUGGCAAAUAAUGGAAUGCUCAAACAUCAGUAGCAAAAUAUAAUGCUUAUAUUUUACAUAUGAGAAUGUAAUAUUUGGGUUAAGUAGAUGGGCGUCCUGAAAAUCUCUUUUUACUUUGUUGAGGCCCCAUGUUGAAGGAAUCUUUUAUGAUUGUAUCAGGAAAAACGUUUUGUUACAAAUGAAUGAAGAAGUGGUUUUUUUUGUUUUUGUUUUAAUUAAAAAACUUUCAUACAGAUCUAGAAUACCUAAGUACUGUUAAACUAGCUGGAAUAAUAUUUUAAGAGAAACAUCUUUUCAAAUAAUGUAUGGUUUUUAGAACAUGAUCAGGAAAACUGAAGAUAAUAAUUAUUCUACUGCUUAUCUAAUAGGCAGGACCAAUCCAAGUUGUUUAGCAUUUUAAAAUUAUGCAAUUUGGGGGAGCUUUUAGAGAAAAAACCCACAAACAUUAUAAACCCAGAAGUUAGGUAAUGUACCAUGAAAGGGGCCUAUGUGUGUAACAGAAGCUUUGUGGCCUCUUUGAUUUUCUUAUGAAGGACAUGUUCAAUGAGUUCAGAAGAAAAUUAGUAACUUUUUUUUUUUAUUCUGAUUGGGGAAAUUGAUUUUGUAGCUUGUUAUACUAACUUGUGCUGAGAAUUUUUAAAAAAUUCACAGUAACCUAUUUAAUAGUUCUAGUAUUUCUUCAAAUGUAUUUUUAUUAACUAUAAAGUAAAAUAUCUAAGUAGCGAUAUGAAUGUAUUACUGUUGCACUUGUUUUAUUGAGAUCAAAAGAAAUGGAUCAGUUGAUAUGUGUAAUUGAUGACUAGAUUUUUCCAGUGAUGUUGUGGGAAUAGUUUCUUCAGUUGGAGGUGAUGUCUGUAACAUUACAGCUGAUAAUGUGGAAAAAAGUAAUUAUCUUGAGAGUAUUUAUAUUAAAAGAGGAGGCAGAUUCAAGCAAUACUUAAGGCAUAAAGAGAAUUUCAUUGAAAUCACAUUUGAUACAAAGUAUAUGCUCAGGUGUUAUUUGCAUAUUGAUGUGUACAUUAAUUAAUAAGUAUUUGUUUUGGAAUACGGCUCUAUAGCACUAAAGUAUAUUUUUAUGAAUAGGAAGAAACUAGUUGCAUUUUUUACAGGUAAUUCCUGCAAAUUGGUAUUUACAUUUUAAUGUUAAUAUCUGAAAAUUUGGGGAUCCAUGAAAAGAAAAAAAAUCACUGUUUUUUAAAUAUUAAAAACAGCCCUUGAAAAACAAUUAAUAUUCUGAAGAUUUUUGUAUCUUGUCUGUCCACAUAUUCCCUCUAUAAUAUCCAGGCUAUAUAGGCAAUGACAAGUCUUUCAAACUGCCUCAAAGCACAUAGUACAAAGUUUUCCUUGAUGGGGUAAUAGGUUUUGUGGGAUGCAGUUCUGUUUGCAGGGAAAGAAGCCCUGUGCGCUGUGUUAAUGGAGCUGGUACUCAUUCUUGCUGAAUUGGUGCUAUCAGUAGCAACGGGAAAACAUGAUUUGCCACUGUUAGCUGAAAUCAUGCGUUGACUAUAUAGCAGUCCAAUGAGGUGAGGCCUGCAGGGGAAUAAGGUGUAAAAGAGUGAGAGAGAGUGAUAUGCUGGUCCUAAGCUUGUUAGAGUUCAGGCUGUAUCGACAGCAUUCUACAGUAUAAGACUUUUGGUUUCAGCACCUUGAGUCAAGGCUGGAACACAGGGUUGUGCCACUUGGGACUCAUUCAGCUGCCAGUGGAAAACCCAACCCAGAUUGACUCAAGCAUCAAAGGAACUUCUUGGUUCAUAACACCUGAGCGCCUUAAGGGUUAUCUUCAGAUAUAGUUUUAUUCAGGGUUGAAAUCAUUGGGAAACUUGGAUAGAAUUUUUGGCUUUGUUUUCCCUCUACUCAUUCCUUUCUGAGAUUUGGAAGGAUGGAUUACCUUAGCUUCAUAGCAUCACAGUAUGAAGCUGAAGUUCAGAGGCAGAGGGAGCAAGACAAAGAGGAGAAAAGGGGUGGGGGUAGAUAAGGAAGAAGAGAGAGGAGAAAGGAUGGGAGAGGGUAUGAAGAAGGAACUGCUUCCUAACAGUCUGAACAAAGAUCCUUUAAUUGUUUUUUUUCAGCCCUGGUUGCUUACAUGUGCCCUGUUAAUAUCUCCAAACUUGGAACUUGGUUAGAAAGAGUCAGAUCAUUGCUUGAUUCAUUUACUUAUUUCUUCCUCCUGUUCUCCCUUCCUCCUCCCAUCCUUCCCUCCUCUGCUCACUUUCAGAAUUAUUUUCCAUGGAAAGCCCCUUUCCCAUCCUCCAUGUAAAAUUCAAAAGCCCAUAAUAGUGCUUUAGUGAAAUUUUAAUAUUUUGCUUUGAUAAUCAGUGUUUCAUGCUGUAAGGGAAAAAAGAAUUUUCUCUCUACUAUUCUAGAUUUUUGGCUGAGACCCCUCCCGUAAUAAAAAGACAUUAACAGGAGAAAAAAACAAAUGGAAAUUUAAUUACAUGUAAAACUCCUAUAUACAUGGAAGAUAUGCAGGAAAAAUGAGUAAUUCCCAUAAAUGGCUCAAGCCAGCAUCUUAAAUACCAUCUUUAACUAAAGACAAAAAGAUUUUGGAGGCAUAGGGAGAGUUAUGGGAGAUUAUCAGGCAAAGCACAGUAAACAAGAGUAUGGUCGUUAUGUAGAUCUAUGUAGGAAUCUUUUCCGUGGUAAGUUUCUAGAGGUUUAGUUAUCCUCCUCUUUUGGUGCAGAGAAGGAAAUAUCCUUACAAGUGGUUAUUUCCCUCAUAAAUGUAAAAUGUCUCUUACAAAAGGGUAACUUCCAGGUAUUCUAAGCUAUUCCUGUGUCUGCUGUUUCUUUAUUUUUUUGUCUUUUUGCCUUUUCUUGAGCCGCUCCCAUGGCAUAUGGAGGUUCCCAGUGGCUACAGCUCCAAUUAGACCCCCAGCCUGGGAACUUCCAUAUGCUGCGGAAGUGGCCCUAGAAAUGGCAAAAAGACAAAAUAAAUAAAUAAUUAAAUAAAACUUUACCAUAUACACUUAAUGAUUUGUAAUAAUAGCCUUGUUAUUAUUAUAGAUCAAAUAAAAUUAAAGGUGAAUAUUUCUAAAUGAUGAAAUGCCACUUUAUACUAAACAUUACACUACCGAAUAUUUAUAGUCAACAAAAAAUCAAUAUUACAAUUUUAGUUUGUAUUGCUGAAUUGCAGAAAUUUGUCAACCCACCUUAUCUAGAAUGUUGCUUGUUGUAUACAAAACAAACUGUAUGUAUGGUUCUUAGUGGUGAUUUCAGUUUUAGUUGGAAUGAAUUGCCAGAACGUUUCUUCAGUUUCAGCUCUGCCUUAUAUUACAGUUGUGGGAAGAAAGUAUCUAUAAAACCUAAAAAUUUAAUUUAAUAUAAUAGUAAACUUUGACUUCCACAGUAAAGGAUAUUUCAUUCUGGUAUCUAUAUAAGUCCAUAACUUCAUGUUCCUGAAGAUAGGAAUUUUGAAUGUUUUGUGCUUCUUUGCAUCAGAACCCAGUACAGUGUUUGCUAUGUAGAUAAAUGAGUGGAUCAUUAAAUUUAAAAAAUCCUUUUUUCCUAGAAUCUUAAUGCUGGUUGAAAAAACUGUUUUCUAAUUCACUGCAUUUUAUUAAACAAACAAAAUAAAAAUAGAUAAGAGGCCCUGCUAGGAGACCAGUCUAGAAAAUUGAUAAUGGAAAUAAAAAAAUAACACUAAAUUCCACAUUAGCAGAGAUAAAUGUUUUAUUUGGGUUUUAUAGAGAAGAAUGAAGCUAAACUUGAAAACUAUUUUAUCUCAUAUUUAACAAAAAAUAGUUAGAACUAUGCCUAUUCCUAGAGCAAAAGAAACACUCAAAUCUUAUCAUUCCUCUGCACAUUUUUAUAUAAUAUUAAUCAGUAGCAUAAAAGGAUAAUUUUUACUUCACAUUUAACUUUCACAGCAGGACUCUAAGGAAGUUAAUUUUUUGAAGUUUAUUUUCCCCUUUUUUAUUGAGAUAUAAUUCACAUGCUAUAUAGUGUCACCUUUUUAAAAGGUUUACAAUUUAGUGGUUUUUUAGUAUAAUCACAAGGUUGUGCAACCAUUGCCAUUAUCUAUUUCUAGAACUUUUUUCAUCUCCCUCAAAAGAAAAUCCAUAUCCAUUAGCCAUCAUUCCCCUUCCUACCUCCCGGGAGAUUAAUUUUGGGGGAAAAA
rnacentral:lncRNA from 1 species